rnacentral:rRNA from 1 species
UACGUAGGGUGCAAGCGUUAAUCGGAAUUACUGGGCGUAAAGCGUGCGCAGGCGGUUAUGCAAGACAGAUGUGAAAGCCCCGGGCUCAACCUGGGAACUGCAUUUGUGACUGCAUGGCUGGAGUGCGGCAGAGGGGGAUGGAAUUCCGCGUGUAGCAGUGAAAUGCGUAGAUAUGCGGAGGAACACCGAUGGCGAAGGCAAUCCCCUGGGCCUGCACUGACGCUCAUGCACGAAAGCGUGGGGAGCAAACAGG